CCUACGGGUGGCAGCAGUGGGGAAUAUUGGGUAAUGGAGGAACCUCUGACCCAGCAAUGCCGCGUGAAUGAAGAAGGUCUUCGGAUUGUUAAGUUCUUUAGUCAGGGAAGCAUAACAUGACGGUACCUGCAGCAUAAGCUCUGGCUAACUACGUGCCAGCAGCCGCGGUAAUACGUAGGGAGCAAGCGUUGUUCGGAAUGACUGGGCGUAAAGGGUGCGUAGGCGGUUAUACAAGUUAGAAGGGAAAUACCCAGGGGUUAACGCGGGUGCUGCUUCUAAAACUGUAAGACUUGAGUGCAGUAGAGGUUAGUGGAAUGCCUAGUGUAGCGGUGGAAUGCGUAGAUAUUAGGAGGAACACCAGAGGCGAAGGCGGCAAACUGGAGUGCAACUGACGCUGAGGCACGAAAGUGUGGGGAGCAAACAGGAUUAGAUACCCCAGUAGUC
rnacentral:rRNA from 1 species